rnacentral:misc_RNA from 1 species
GCAUAGAAAAGAUUGUUAUAGAUUAUUUGGAACAGCCGUCCUCACUUGCACAGGAGAAAGGGAUACACUGGAAUGAAAUUGCUCAACACCUUAGAGUUCCUUUGGAGAAAAUCAAGGAAGCAAUAGAAUCUCUUGAAUCUGAAGGGCUGGUUUACUCUACCAUUGAUGAAUGUCACUUCAAGUCGACAAGUGCUUAAAGCCUUGCUUACAUGCUCAGGGAAUCAGAGGGAAUCAAAGGAA